UUGCAAACCCAGAAACCAUAAUUUUCCACGAAACAGCAUCUCUAAUAUUCAUUCCUCUAAAGUACUCCUUGGCCAAAUCAACUUGUUGAUUGUUCAAUAGCCCGCCUAUCACCAAGUUCCAAGAAAUCACAUUUCUCAUAUCCAAUGGCAUCCCAUUGAAUAUUCUCACUGCUUCGUCAAUCCACCCCUCAUGAACAUAACCCGCAAUAAUCGAAUUCCAUGAAACAACGUCUCGAAAUGGCAUGCCAUCAAAAAGCUCCCUAGCACCAUCCAAAUCACCAUACUGCAUCAACCCGGAAAUCACUAUAUUAUAUGUAUAAAUAUCACGCUCAGGCAUUACAUUAAACAAACUGAGCGCCUUUUGGGAUUGCCCAUUCUGAAAGUAACCACGGAUCAUAGCAUUCCAAGUGACGGUAUUUCGUUGAGGCAUUUCAUCGAA
rnacentral:misc_RNA from 1 species